GAACUGCAGGAAGAAAGACCAUCAACAUAAUGGCCUCAAUGGACAACAAUGAAGAUAACAUGAGUCGUGGUUGUGUGCUGAGCUGUCUGAGCAACUACUUUAAUGAAGACCUGUACACACUGGUUAAAGAAUACAUGGACACUGAAUCCAGAGAGGCAGAGGCAGACAUUGCAGAGAAGACCAUGGGUAUCUACACUAUCUGAGCAGAAGGUCGUGGUGCUGAUGGUCCAAGUAAUGGAAGCUUUGCUGAUGUUGUUGUGCUGGAAGGCAUGGAUGUUCUCCAUAGCCUGCAGUGUGUCAGCCAUGCAUGUGUAAUGCUUUAUGGACUGAUACAUGGACUCAACUUGAGCUGUCCAAAAAGCCUGAAGCACACAUUUGAGGUGUACCAGAAAAUCUUGCUGGAUCUGGACUAAUCAGACAGGAUCUUGUGUUUAAAUGAUCCCUCAUGUUUCAGGGAAAUACCUGUUUGAUACAUUUGUACUUGUAAUGGUGUUUUUUUUUUCUUUAGGUGUUGAUGUGUGAGUGUGACUGUGUAUCUGGAUUCAUAGAUGGGUAGUUUCUAAAGUGUGUUAGCUGGCAGUGUUGUGGUGACGCAGUUCAAACCAGAUUUUUCUUGAAUUGUUUCCAGAUGAUUCAAUGAGAGCUAGUUCAGUAUUUAAAAGAUAUUUGUUCUAAAAAAAAGUGACUCAGUUCCCUACCAAAGCUACUCGGGUGAAGACGUUUUUUUUUUCUAAUAUUGAAGGAAAAGUAUGACAAAAACAGGACAUAGGGUCUUGUUGUGAAUGUACACAAGUCAAACUUUUGUAUAAAUACAUAAUUAUGACUGAAGCGUCAUUUUGAUAUUGUGUAAUUUUGUGUCUUUAAUAUGAGUAAUUAAUGUUUAAUAAAGAUGUUGAAUCAACAAGA